rnacentral:rRNA from 1 species
AUACGUAGGGGGCGAGCGUUGUCCGGAAUGAUUGGGCGUAAAGGGCGCGUAGGCGGCCCGGUAAGUCUGGAGUGAACGUCCUGCUUUCAAGGUGGGAAUUGCUUUGGAGACUGGUUGGCUUGAGUGCGGAAGAGGUAAGUGGAAUUCCCAGUGUAGCGGUGAAAUGCGUAGAGAUUGGGAGGAACACCAGUGGCGAAGGCGACUUACUGGGCCGUAACUGACGCUGAGGCGCGAAAGCGUGGGGAGCGAACAGGAUUAGAUACCCUGGUAGUCCACGCGGUAAACGAUGAAUGCUAGGUGUAGGGGGUAUCGACCCCUCCUGUGCCGGAGUGAACACAAUAAGCAUUCCGCCUGGGGAGUACGGCCGCAAGGUUGAAACUCAAAUGAAUUGACGGGG